GACGAACGCUGGCGGCGUGCUUAACACAUGCAAGUCGAACGGAAAGGCCCUGCUUUUGUGGGGUGCUCGAGUGGCGAACGGGUGAGUAACACGUGAGUAACCUGCCCUUGACUUUGGGAUAACUUCAGGAAACUGGGGCUAAUACCGGAUAGGAGCUCCUGCUGCAUGGUGGGGGUUGGAAAGUUUCGGCGGUUGGGGAUGGACUCGCGGCUUAUCAGCUUGUUGGUGGGGUAGUGGCUUACCAAGGCUUUGACGGGUAGCCGGCCUGAGAGGGUGACCGGCGACAUUGGGACUGAGAUACGGCCCAGACUCAUACGGGAGGCAGCAGUGGGGAAUAUUGCACAAUGGGCGGAAGCCUGAUGCAGCAACGCCGCGUGCGGGAUGACGGCCUUCGGGUUGUGAACCGCUUUCGCCUGUGACGAAGCGUGAGUGACGGUAAUGGGUAAAGAAGCACCGGCUAACUACGUG
rnacentral:rRNA from 1 species